rnacentral:rRNA from 1 species
AUUGAACGCUGGCGGCAUGCUUUACACAUGCAAGUCGAACGGUAACAGGUCUUCGGAUGCUGACGAGUGGCGAACGGGUGAGUAAUACAUCGGAACGUGCCUAGUAGUGGGGGAUAACUACUCGAAAGAGUAGCUAAUACCGCAUGAGAUCUACGGAUGAAAGCAGGGGACCUUCGGGCCUUGUGCUACUAGAGCGGCUGAUGGCAGAUUAGGUAGUUGGUGGGGUAAAGGCUUACCAAGCCUGCGAUCUGUAGCUGGUCUGAGAGGACGACCAGCCACACUGGGACUGAGACACGGCCCAGACUCCUACGGGAGGCAGCAGUGGGGAAUUUUGGACAGUGGGCGAAAGCCUGAUCCAGCAAUGCCGCGUGCAGGAUGAAGGCCCUCGGGUUGUAAACUGCUUUUGUACGGAACGAAAAGCCUGGGGCUAAUAUCCCCGGGUCAUGACGGUACCGUAAGAAUAAGCACCGGCUAACUACGU